rnacentral:rRNA from 1 species
CAGCCGCCGCGGUAAUACAGAGGGUGCGAGCGUUAAUCGGAUUUACUGGGCGUAAAGCGUGCGUAGGCGGCUUCUUAAGUCGGAUGUGAAAUCCCUGAGCUUAACUUAGGAAUUGCAUUCGAUACUGGGAAGCUAGAGUAUGGGAGAGGAUGGUAGAAUUCCAGGUGUAGCGGUGAAAUGCGUAGAGAUCUGGAGGAAUACCGAUGGCGAAGGCAGCUAUCUGGACUAAUACUGACGCUGAGGUACGAAAGCAUGGGGAGCAAACAGGAUUAGAUACCCUAGUAGUCCCUGUCUCUUAUAA